CUAUAUAACCGUGUAUUGAACGGUUAUGGUGUUGCCGGGUAACGGAGAAUUAGGGUUUGUCUCCGGAGAGAAUGCCUUAAAAACGGCUUUCACAUCCAAGGAAGGCAGCAGGCGCGAAAAUUACCCACUUUCAGUGCGAGGAGGUAGUGACGUGAAAUGACAAGUUGCAUUCUUUAUAGGAUGGAACAUUGGAAUGGUUUAAUUUUAAAUCCAUUAAAGAUUAUCAAUGAGAGGGCAAGUUUGGUGCCAGCAGCCGCGGUAAUUCCAGCUCUCAUACUGCAUUGAAUUGCUGUUGCGGUUAAAAAGUUUGUAGUUGCAAGUGUACGGAGUGAGAUGGUUUAACUUAUUGUUAAUACUAUUUCUACCGUUAAGAGUUAAUAUGGUUAAUACCCAUAUAACUCAGUUACUUUGAGUAAAUCAGAGUGCUUAGAACAAGCGUAUUGCUUGAAUGGUUGUGCAUGGAAUAACAAUACAAUGCAUUGAUAUUUGUUUUGUUGGUUUUAAUGUCAAUGAAUGAUUAAAAGGAACAAACGGGGGCAAAAGUAUCAUAAGGCGAGAGGUGAAAUUCGUGGACCCUUGUGAGACUGCCUAAAGCGAAAGCAUUUGCCAAGA
rnacentral:rRNA from 1 species